rnacentral:rRNA from 1 species
GAUGAAUGCUGGCGGCGUGCUUAACACAUGCAAGUCGAACGGGAAACCUUUUAUUGAAGCUUCGGCAGAUUUAGCUGGUUUCUAGUGGCGGACGGGUGAGUAACGCGUGGGUAACCUGCCUUAUACAGGGGGAUAACAGUCAGAAAUGGCUGCUAAUACCGCAUAAGCGCACAGAGCUGCAUGGCUCAGUGUGAAAAACUCCGGUGGUAUAAGAUGGACCCGCGUUGGAUUAGCUGGUUGGUGGGGUAACGGCCCACCAAGGCGACGAUCCAUAGCCGGCCUGAGAGGGUGAACGGCCACAUUGGGACUGAGACACGGCCCAGACUCCUACGGGAGGAAGCAGUGGGGAAUAUUGCACAAUGGGGGAAACCCUGAUGCAGCGACGCCGCGUGAAGGAAGAAGUAUCUCGGUAUGUAAACUUCUAUCAGCAGGGAAGAUAAUGACGGUACCUGACUAAGAAGCCCCGGCUAACUACGUG